UCAAACAAUAUGGUGGGUGGUCAAUGGCUUUCCAAAGGGCAUCUGGGCAGGAGAGGGAAUGUAGGUCUUUCCUCUCUCACCCCAGCCCCAGUCAGCCAAGGGGCAUAUUUUGCUCACUAGCUUGGGAUAAGGAUUGGGAUCAAGGUGGGGGCUCUCAGCAGGCUGGGAGCAGGGGUCCCUUAGGCGGGGCCAAUGAUGAC
rnacentral:lncRNA from 1 species